UACGGGAGGCAGCAGUGGGGAAUAUUGCACAAUGGGCGCAAGCCUGAUGCAGCCAUGCCGCGUGUAUGAAGAAGGCCUUCGGGUUGUAAAGUACCUUCAGUCGUGAGGAAGGUGUUAAGGUUAAUAACCUUAGCAAUUGACGUUAGCGACAGAAGAAGCACCGGCUAACUCCGUGCCAGCAGCCGCGGUAAUACGGAGGGUGCGAGCGUUAAUCGGAAUUACUGGGCGUAAAGGGCACGCAGGCGGUUAAUUAAGUUGGAUGUGAAAUCCCCGGGCUUAACCUGGGAAUGGCAUUCAAGACUGGUUAGCUAGAGUCUUGUAGAGGGGGUAGAAUUCCAUGUGUAGCGGUGAAAUGCGUAGAGAUGUGGAGGAAUACCGGUGGCGAAGGCGGCCCCUGGGACAAAGGACUGACGCUCAUGUGCGAAAGCGUGGGGAGCAAAC
rnacentral:rRNA from 1 species